rnacentral:rRNA from 1 species
UACAGAGGGUGCGAGCGUUGUUCGGAAUUACUGGGCGUAAAGCGCGCGUAGGUGGUGUGUUAAGUCUGCCGGUCAAAUGCCGAGCUCGAACCUCGUUGCACGCCGGGGAGUACUGGCACGCUAGAGACAAGUAGAGGCAAGCGGAAUUCCGGGAUGUAGCGGUGGAAUGCGUAGAGAUCCGGAAGAACACCAGUGGCGAAGGCGGCCCGCUGGGCAGUGGCUGACGCUGAGGCGCGACAGCGUGGGGAGCAAACAGG